rnacentral:rRNA from 1 species
AUUGAACGCUGGCGGCAUGCUUUACACAUGCAAGUCGAACGGUAACAGGCCUUCGGGUGCUGACGAGUGGCGAACGGGUGAGUAAUGCAUCGGAACGUGCCCAAUCGUGGGGGAUAACGUAGCGAAAGUUACGCUAAUACCGCAUAAGCCCUGAGGGGGAAAGUGGGGGACCGCAAGGCCUCACGCGAAUGGAGCGGCCGAUGUCAGAUUAGCUAGUUGGUGGGGUAAAGGCCCACCAAGGCGACGAUCUGUAGCGGGUCUGAGAGGAUGAUCCGCCACACUGGGACUGAGACACGGCCCAGACUCCUACGGGAGGCAGCAGUGGGGAAUUUUGGACAAUGGGCGCAAGUCUGAUCCAGCCAUGCCGCGUGCGGGACGAAGGCCUCGGUUGUAA